ACGGAAGGCAGCAGUGGGGAAUAUUGCACAAUGGGGGAAACCCUGAUGCAGCAACGCCGCGUGAGUGAAGAAGUAUUUCGGUAUGUAAAGCUCUAUCAGCAGGGAAGAAAAUGACGGUACCUGACUAAGAAGCCCCGGCUAACUACGUGCCAGCAGCCGCGGUAAUACGUAGGGGGCAAGCGUUAUCCGGAUUUACUGGGUGUAAAGGGAGCGUAGACGGUUUGGCAAGUCAGAAGUGAAAGCUUAGGGCUCAACCCUAGAACUGCUUUUGAAACUGUUGAACUAGAGUGUCGGAGAGGUAAGUGGAAUUCCUAGUGUAGCGGUGAAAUGCGUAGAUAUUAGGAGGAACACCAGAGGCGAAGGCGGCUUACUGGACGAUUACUGACGUUGAGGCUCGAAAGCGUGGGGAGCAAACAGGAUUAGAUACCCUGGUA
rnacentral:rRNA from 2 species